rnacentral:rRNA from 1 species
AUUGAACGCUGGCGGCAGGCCUAACACAUGCAAGUCGAGCGGGGGUAGCAAUACCCUAGCGGCGAACGGGUGAGGAAUGCUUGGGAAUCUGCCUCGUAGUGGGGGGAUAACGUUCCGAAAGGAACGCUAAUACCGCAUACGUCCUACGGGAGAAAGGGGGGGAUCUUCGGACCUCUCGCUAUGAGAUGAGCCCAAGCGGGAUUAGCUAGUUGGUGAGGUAAAGGCUCACCAAGGCUACGAUCCCUAGCUGGUCUGAGAGGAUGAUCAGCCACACUGGAACUGAGACACGGUCCAGGACUCCUACGGGAGGCAGCAGUGGGGAAUAUUGGACAAUGGCGAAAGCCUGAUCCAGCCAUGCCGCGUGU